UGACCCAGUCGUCUCGUCGGUUCCAUGGGAGCGCCACUUUUGGAACAACGAACUUCAAGGCUCUUACCUGAAACCAAAGCAGGCUCAGCAAGUCCAACUGGUUCGCCAUUGCUGUCCCGAGAUAAUGAAGAAGCAUUUUCGGCGCUCUUUUGUCAACUUUCGGACUAGAAUGUUGUCAAAGGAUUGAAAACCGCAAACAAAGUGAGACCAGUUAGAUCAAUCCAAUUUUGGCAAUAUUUGGGAUGUUUAAAAGAGAGGAAUAGCAUUUUUGUUGACAAGAAAAUGUUUGGUGGAAGAGGCGUGAAAGUUAGGUCGCUUCUGAAGUUUCUAGCUAGAUUUCCGUAUGGAAAGUUUCUUAUCAUGUUUAUGCCUAAUUGCCAGCUUUCUGUAGCUUCCCUCUCUAGACAAGGCUCUUACUGCCUUCCAGGCUUCUUUGAUGAUUUCCUCUUUAUUCUUUAUUUUUUAUAUAUAUAAAAAAAUUGUUCUGCCCUUACCCAAUCGGUAAUUUAUUUUCUUAUAAAAGUAAAUGGACACGAAGAUCAGCUUUUUAAACGCCCAAAACCUAUGUUAGCAUAGACUACUGUCAUAUUUGCCUCUCGAAUAAAUUGAAGCUCAUAGAUCAGAGAGAAAGGAUUAGAAGAAAACCUGCGCGAAAAAAUACAGACCUUUGGCAUCAUUUUCAAAAGCUUAGAACAAACUAGCAAAUUUACGUAAAUGAAAAUAUUUCUUUAAAAAUCUAUUUUGUACCAAUUCGAAAUAGA